ACGCUGGGACCUGCCAGCCAGCCUGAUGGGAGCAGCAGCACCUGGGUGUGUGGACGCUUUCGUGAACACAGGAGGACAGCCCGGGAGGUAUCAGGGCAAAAAAGGCUACCAAAAUAAUAGAGUCAGAAGUGACUAUGGGUUGAAACCGUAACACCCUUACUCCAAGGUUGGAAGAUUUUUGUGGAAAAUGAACAUAUUUUAUUAGAAGACAUGGAGGACUUCCUGGAGCAGGAUGGGCAAACACACCCUAGUGUUUACCUGAUAUUGGAAAGGAAAGUUUUCCUCCUGCCUCUGCAGCCUUGGGUGAAUGUGUAUGUGAAACACAGAUCACCGCUAAUGUGUCCCCAGUUCAGAUUUCUGCAUCUGCAAGUUCAGAAUUAUGGUGAUUUUG